ACAACCAUUUCACAUAUAAUGUGGUAUUGGCAGAUGUGGGUGGCACUUGCUGUGCCCCUCCCACUCAGCUGAAAUGGAUAGGCCGGAGAAGCAAACCAUGGCAACAGACUCACAGAGUGUUAUACAAUGCUAAACUAGUCUGAAGUAGGUUGAAAUCCGUGUCACUGGACCCCCCGUUCAUCAAAACCAUAGA
rnacentral:misc_RNA from 1 species